rnacentral:lncRNA from 8 species
UUUGGAAUCUCGUUCGUCUGAACUCCUGUUGAGAAAAGGAAUAGCUGACUUCAGCAGAGGGCUACGUAACCCUGUCAUAAAGGCUACAUAUGUUAUGUCUAACCCCCUCCUUGUGCCUGCCUGGUAUCUGGUCCCCACCCAGAGAUUAUCUUGAAGCUUUUGUCUUAGGUUUCCUCUGUGUGUGGCUGAACAGGGAGCCGUGAUACCAACUAGACUGGUGAGUUUUGGUUAAUGAGUACGUUUGGUAAUUGUCAUGUGAAAUGAAUCUAGUCAUUGUAUCUUAACCAGAGCCUCUGCCUUAGCCACAAGCUAUAACCAGUCUAGUGUUCAUACUCACUGCAAACAAGGGUGAACAGUUGCUGUUUGGUAGUCAUGGUGACUCUGGCUCCUGGUGAUGACACCCGCACGCGUCUUACGCCCUGCGUCGACGACAGAACCUGCAAAGGUGGACCCACUGGCGUUGCCAGGCCAGCAAGGGGACAGCUGGUUGGGGUUACCAACUGUCUGAUGGGACCAGAGACUCACACAAAAUGGCUGUUGGCUCUGCGUUGAUCCAAAAUGGCCGCCAUUAGAUUUAAGAUAAAGAAGUAGAUGCAAGAUCAUUCAUGAAAUGCUAGUAGCAGCACAAAUCACUGGGGCGGAUGGGCCGCUCAGAAUGUAGUCAGUUUAUUUAUUGAUGGUACUGCAAUAUAAUAAAGAGUUUAAGCAGGAUAUAAGUUAGGAUACUGACUUGCAAAUAACUAUGUUCUUGUCCUGAUGUAGUACAGGGCCCUUGUCAGCACUCCCAUAUUUAGUCUCUCAGGGUGGUAGUGCUGGUCUAGGAUCAGUUGUCUUUCAGAUAGUUGUGUUACCUCCCCAGCUGAUUGGUUACCCCUCUGAUCUAUCAGCCAAUAAAGCAGUCUUUAAUGUCCUGCUGUUCAGCAUGUUUAUUUAGCCUCCUCUCCUUCAGGUCCUGAUGGUGGUACCAGACUGGUCACUAGAAGAUGCCUGUUACUGAACUACCUCAAGGUUUCUGCCCCCUGGUUGAGGUCCUAGUGUCUGCAGUGUUUGGAAAGAUCUCGUUGGCUGCUGAAGUGUUGCUGUGCUGGUGGGGUGUGAAGCUCUCCUGUUGUACACCGGCAAGCCCUCUUGCACUCCUGUUUGGUCAGCAAGGAAGUGGGACGUCUCGUUGGAACUGGGGAGAACCAGGCCAAGUCAAUUCAACCCUGUGACUGUUUUGAUGUAUAAAUAAAUCUACAAAUUAAUGCUUGUCCUAUUUUUCUUUCUUGGUGGUAGUAAAUCAGACUUGGUGAAUUUGGCCAUUUUGAAUGAACCAUGUGAUGUUCUGAAUUCCAUACUGAACAAUGUGACAUUUCCUGUCAUCUCAUAUCAUUAUGUAGUUAUUCUAGGUGGUUGUACUUCAAUUAUUUUAAGCCAUUAAUUUGUUUCUGAAUGGAUGUUAUUGUGAGUAGCAUGUGUAGUCGUGAAGUGGGCUUUGACACGAUGGGACAGUUUAAUAAUUUAGGGAAUAAACUCAGUUGACGCUGCUAUCAGAACUGCCAAAGAUGGUGGAUAAAUAAAGCGUACACUCAGGCCCGUUACCAUGGGACGAAAUGAAAAUUACGGUGUGUGACAUGGAUAUCAAUGUGCCACCUUGUAGUCCCGAAAACCCUAAAUGUGAUUCAUCUGGUUCGUUCAACCAUUACUAUAGUGGAAAGAUUAGGGUUUUGGGAUCAGUGUGAAAACAAGGCGCUGCAUGGUCAACCUGUUUACGUUGGUCGUGAAGCAUUUACGGUGACUUGGUCUCUGCCGAAGUCGGGCCAUUCAUAAUUUCGCGGAGCAAUGCAGAGCUGGUUGAUGGUAGGUCCUGUAUAAACACAAUCGUAUGAAUUUAGAGCAAUUUGGAGCCCCGAAUUGUUACACAAUGAGGCGCACAGUGAUGCGGUAUGGAACUCAAUUUGGGCUCUGACCACUACAAGGUAAUUCAGUGUUUGCUCUUUUGACCCUAGUUCCCGGACACAGAUUGAUAGUGCAGCAGAACACCACUGGAUAGAAUACCUGUAUGUCUCUAGUGGUGAACUGGGAUAGUGCAGCAGAAUGCAACAGUGCUAUAAUCUUGGCCAUAAAGUGGUUCGGCAAAAUUUGAUCAGGAAUUAAGACUAUUAGUGUAUGCGACAAUGUAUAUACAAAAAUAAGAUUAUUGGUAUAAAGGUCUUUUAUCACUCAGAUGGAUGGUAUUUUCUGUGGCAUUAAAAAGGUCUUCGUCUGACAUUGGACAUGGUGCCAAAUAACCUUUCACCUGACU